UACGGAGGGUGCAAGCAUUGAUCGGAAUUACUGGGCGUAAAGGGCGCGUAGGCGGAUCUGUAAGUCGGACGUGAAAUUCCGUGGCUCAACCACGGAGCUGCGUUUGAAACUACAGGACUAGAGUACAGUUAGGGUAAACGGAAUUCCACGUGUAGCGGUGAAAUGCGUAGAUAUGUGGAAGAACACCGGUGGUGAAGACGGUUUACUGGGCUGAAACUGACGCUGAGGCGCGAAAGCAUGGGGAGCAAACAGG
rnacentral:rRNA from 1 species